UACGAAGGGGGCUAGCGUUGUUCGGAGUUACUGGGCGUAAAGGGCGCGUAGGCGGCGCAUCAAGUCAGGCGUGAAAGCCCUGGGCUCAACCCGGGAAUUGCGCUUGAGACUGGUGUGCUCGAGUACGGGAGAGGAUAGUGGAAUUCCCAGUGUAGAGGUGAAAUUCGUAGAUAUUGGGAAGAACACCAGUGGCGAAGGCGGCUAUCUGGACCGUAACUGACGCUGAGGCGGCGGAAAAGCGUGGGGAGCAAACAGG
rnacentral:rRNA from 1 species